rnacentral:snoRNA from 1 species
UUGCGAAUGAUGACCUAGCCUUAUUAUACAGUUAUCCCUAUCUGAGAUUUCUUCCUCAGAAGACAUUGUGUGGAUACCGUCUAACUUCUGACUUGCAA